UCCGAAUUGGUGUAGUGGUUAACAUUUGACGCUCUCAUGACUAAACUUGUGUUCUUUAGAUCAUAGUUAGAAUGGUGCCGUCAAGCCCGGGGUUCGAUUCCCCGAUUCGGAG